rnacentral:rRNA from 1 species
GAGUCAUACGCAAUAUGAGGCCUGGCUUUCGCGGCCGGCUGAAGUAUUUUUUUCACCCAUGUCUUUUGCGCACUUGUUGUUUCCUGGGCGGGUUCGCCCGCCACCAGGACCAAACCAUAAACCUUUUUUUCUUAUGCAGUUUCCAUCAGCGUCAGUAAAAACAAUGUAAUUAUUACAACUUUCAACAACGGAUCUCUUGGUUCUGGCAUCGAUGAAGAACGCAGCGAAAUGCGAUACGUAGUGUGAAUUGCAGAAUUCAGUGAAUCAUCGAAUCUUUGAACGCACAUUGCGCCCUUUGGUAUUCCAAAGGGCAUGCCUGUUCGAGCGUCAUUUGUACCUUCAAGCUUUGCUUGGUGUUGGGCGUUUUUUUGUCUCCCUCUUUCUGGGAGACUCGCCUUAAAACGAUUGGCAGCCGGCCUACUGGUUUCGGAGCGCAGCACAUUUUUUGCGCUUUGUAUCAGGAGAAAAGGACGGUACUCCAUCAAGACUCUACAUUUUUCACUUUUGACCUCGGAUCAGGUAGGGAUACCCGCUGAACUUAAGCAUAUCAAAGGCGGGGAGAGAAAA